AUUCCAGCUCCAAUAGCGUAUAUUAAAGUUGUUGCAGUUAAAAAGCUCGUAGUUGGAUUUCUGGUGGGAGCGAUCGGUCUGGCGCUUAGCGCGAGUACUUGCAUCGUCUCCGGCCAUCCUUGGGGAGAGUUUGUCUGGCAUUAAGUUGUCGGGCAGAGGAUCCUCAUCGUUUACUGUGAAAAAAUUAGAGUGUUCAAAGCAGGCUUAUGCCGUUGAAUAUAUUAGCAUGGAAUAAUAAGAUAGGACUUUGGUGGUCUAUUUUGUUGGUUUGCACACCAGAGUAAUGAUUAAUAGGGACAGUUGGGGGUAUUCAUAUUUCAGCGUCAGAGGUGAAAUUCUUAGAUCGCUGAAAGAUGAGCUUAGGCGAAAGCAUUUACCAAGGAUGUUUUCAUCG
rnacentral:rRNA from 1 species